rnacentral:rRNA from 1 species
GAUGAACGCUGGCGGCGUGCCUAAUACAUGCAAGUCGAGCGAACAGACGAGGAGCUUGCUCCUCUGACGUUAGCGGCGGACGGGUGAGUAACACGUGGAUAACCUACCUAUAAGACUGGGAUAACUUCGGGAAACCGGAGCUAAUACCGGAUAAUAUAUUGAACCGCAUGGUUCAAUAGUGAAAGACGGUUUUGCUGUCACUUAUAGAUUGAUCCGCGCCGCAUUAGCUAGUUGGUAAGGUAACGGCUUACCAAGGCAACGAUGCGUAGCCGACCUGAGAGGGUGAUCGGCCACAAUGGAACUGAGACACGGUCCAGACUCCUAAGGGAGGCAGCAGUAGGGAAUCUUCCGCAAUGGGCGAAAGCCUGACGGAGCAACGCCGCGUGAGUGAUGAAGGUCUUCGGAUAGUAAAACUCUGUUAUUAGGGAGGAACAAAUGUGUAAGUAACUAUGCACGUCUUGACGGUACAUAAUCAGAAAGCCACGGCUAACUACGUG